GGGCCAUUAGCUCAGUUGGUAGAGCAGGAGACUCUUAAUCUCAAGGUCGUUGGUUCGAACCCAACAUGGCCCA
rnacentral:tRNA from 1 species